UACGUAGGUGGCAAGCGUUGUCCGGAUUUAUUGGGCGUAAAGCGCGCGCAGGCGGUCUGGAAAGUCUAUGGGUGAAAUGCCGGGGCUCAACCCCGAGCAUGCCCAGGAUACUGUCAGACUGGAGACACGUAGAGGCAAGCGGAAUUUCGGGUGUAGCGGUGGAAUGCGUAGAUAUCCGAAAGAACACCGGAGGCGAAGGCGGCUUGCUGGGCGUGAUCUGACGCUGAGGCGCGAAAGCGUGGGGAGCGAACAGG
rnacentral:rRNA from 1 species